GACGAACGCUGGCGGCGCGCCUAAUACAUGCAAGUCGAGCGAGAAGGUGUAGCAAUACACUUGUAAAGCGGCGAACGGGUGAGGAAUGCAUGGGUAACCUACCCUCGAGUGGGGAAUAACUAGCCGAAAGGUUAGCUAAUACCGCAUACGUUUCCGGAACUUCGGUUUCGGAAAGAAAGCAAUACCGUGGGUAUUGCGCUCCUGGAUGGGCUCAUGUCCUAUCAGCUUGUUGGUGAGGUAACGGCUCACCAAGGCUUCGACGGGUAGCUGGUCUGAGAGGACGAUCAGCCACACUGGCACUGCGACACGGGCCAGACUCCUACGGGAGCAGCAGUAAGGAAUAUUGCGCAAUGGACGAAAGUCUGACGUAGCGACGCCGCGUGGGGGAUGAAGGUCUUCGGGAUUGUAAACCCCUUUCGGGAGGGAAGAUGGAGUGGGUAACCACUUGGACGGUACCUCCAGAAGCAGCCACGGCUAACUUCGUGCCAGCAGCCGCGGUAAU
rnacentral:rRNA from 1 species